rnacentral:lncRNA from 1 species
UGGAUCAUCAAAAAUAAACCACAGAGUUAGGGAACUGUUAGAUCAGGUGGUUGGAAUAUGUAGUUGGAAUCUCAGAAAUCCAUGUUGUUUAAAGUAAGGAUACCACAAAGAAGGAGGAAGUUCAGGGCAGACAUUUUAAUAUGAGUUUCAGGAGGACAUAAAUAUUGAGUGGGAAUGUAAGCUGGAUAGUCAGAAGUCUGAUUAGACAAGAUUCAUCUUCCACAAAUUUUGAAAGGUUGGGCAAAAUGGGCUAAAGAACAGAUACAUCAUACCAAUGCCAAGAAGUCUCUUAAUACCAUCUUCUGCCACAGCCAAGGAAUUUUCAAAUAUUUCCUCUCUGGGCAACAGAAAGCAUCUUAGGGGAAAUACAUGAUCAGAGUAGGGGAUAAGUAAAUAAGAAGCUCGUAGAUAACAUUUAACAAGAGGGUACUGAUAAUUACUUUUUAGUUUGGGGACCAUUAGUUGUGGAAUAGGGAGGGAAAGCAUAAAAACUUGAAGUAAAACACUAGAAUUUAAGUCUUUCAUAUUUUUCAGAAACGACAAUGGAUUCUUCUCAUCAUGGAAUUUUUUUUGGAACUGCUUUUCACCGUUAUUCUUUUGAUACUACGUAAUUCUGUUUCGACAAAGCAUAUGGAUAAGCUUGUGUUUGCAAGACAAUCCAUAAAUACUCUGCCUUCUUACUUCCUUAAUACCAACAAACAAAGAAAUUGGGAACUAGUUUAUGUCCCUUCUAACAAUGAAGCAGUGAACAAUCUUAUUGAAAUGGUACAGCAAACUUUGAACAAUAAGUUGAAAAGUAAGGAGUUAUAAACAUUCUUCAUGACAAUUCAGUUAUUUAUAUAUGUAAGUUUACUUUAUUCUUGGUCCUCAUAAUUUUAAUCAAACUAAGAAUUACAAAACCAUCCCUUGUUAGACUUAACAAAUUUCUUAAUAAAUUCUUAUCUCUAUAAAGUCAUUUGAUAUGCCUCAUUCCCUCAGAGCAAUGAAUUUCAUUGUCUUUUUAUUAAAAGCUUACUGCUUGGGGGCUGGGGUUGUGGCUCAAUGGUAGAGUGCUCGCCUAGCAUGAGUGAGGUGCCCUCAAUUCGAUCCUCAGCACCACAUAAAAAUAAAGAUAUUGUGUCAACCUACAACUAAAAAAUAAAUAUGUUUAAAAAAAGCUUACUGCUUGGAUUUUUGUCUUCUUAUAGUUCAUGGUUUUACUUCAGAGAAAGACUUUGAAGAAUACAUUAAAUAUGAUAAGGACUCUGAUCAUGUGAUGGCUGCUAUUGUGUUUGACCAUGACUUUGUACACAGCGAGGACCCCUUACCACUUGAGGUGAGAAAGCCUUAACUUAAAAGGUUCACAGGGUUAUAAUGAAGAUGUAAUUACCAGAGCUGGCAAUUCCUAUUGAAAUCGAAUUGCUUCACCAAUCAACUGACUUACUUAACAGAGCAGAAGU